rnacentral:rRNA from 1 species
AGCAGUCGCCACGGGAACACGUAGGUGGCAAGCGUUGUCCGGAAUUAUUGGGCGUAAAGCGCGCGCAGGCGGACCAGUCAGUCUGUCUUAAAAGUUCGGGGCUUAACCCCGUGAGGGGAUGGAAACUGCUGAUCUAGAGUAUCGGAGAGGAAAGUGGAAUUCCUAGUGUAGCGGUGAAAUGCGUAGAUAUUAGGAAGAACACCAGUGGCGAAGGCGACUUUCUGGACGAAAACUGACGCUGAGGCGCGAAAGCCAGGGGAGCGAACGGGAUUAGAUACCCGUGUAGUCCCUGUCUCUUAUACC